rnacentral:rRNA from 1 species
GACGAACGCUGGCGGCGUGCUUAACACAUGCAAGUCGAACGGAAAGGCCUCUGUCGGUGGGUACUCGAGUGGCGAACGGGUGAGUAACACGUGAGUAACCUGCCCUUGACUUUGGGAUAACUUCAGGAAACUGGGGCUAAUACCGGUUAGGAGCUCCUGCUGCAUGGGGGGGGUUGGAAAGUUUCGGCGGGUAGGGCUGGACUCGCGGCGUAUCGGCUUGUUGGUGUGGUUGUGGCUUGCCAGGGCGUUGACGGGUAGCCGGCCUGCGAGGGUGACCGGCGACACUGGGACUGAGGGACGGCACAGGCUCCUACGGGAGGGAGAUGUGGGGAAUAUUGAAGGAGGAGUGGCAGCCGGAUGCAGAAGCGCCGUGUGCGGGAUGACGGUCUUCGGGUUGAAAACCGCGUUCGCUCAUGACGAAGCUUUGUGUGACGGUAGUGGGUAAAGAAGCACCGGCUAACUACGUG